rnacentral:rRNA from 1 species
GACGAACGCUGGCGGCGUGCCUAACACAUGCAAGUCGAACGAAAAAUCAUUGAAAGCUUGCUGAUAUGAUUUUUUGUGGCGGACGGGGGAGUAACGCGUGAGGACUUGUCUUAUACAGGGGGACAACAGUUGGAAACGGCUGCUAAUACCCCAUAAGCCUUCGGGUAAAAGGAGCAAUCCGGUAUUCGAGAGACUCGCGUCCUAUCAGCUAGUAGGUGGGGUAACGGCUCACCUAGGCGAAGACGGGUAGCCGGCCUGAGAGGGCGAACGGCCACACUGGAACUGAGACACGGUCCAGACUCCUACGGGAGGCAGCAGUGGGGAAUAUUGGGCAAUGGGGGCAACCCUGACCCAGCGACGCCGCGUGAGUGAAGAAAUCCCUCGGGAUGUAAAGCUCUGUUGUGUGGGAAGAUAAUGACGGUACCACACGAGGAAGCCCCGGCAAACUACGUGCCAGCCGCCGCGGUAAUAC